rnacentral:lncRNA from 1 species
AAGCUUUUAAAAGGGCGUGAAGGAGGCACUCUAUAGCGCCACCUUUUGUCAAAAGUGGGGGGGUUAGUUUUAGCUACAGACACCAAACUUGGUACAUUAAUUUUUCUUUUCAAGACGGACAACUUUCUAAUUCAGUCAUCAGCUACGACCAACAGGAAGUCGGCUAUUUUUAUUUGAAUAUUUAAAUUGAGCUCUGAUUUAAUGCAUACUCCUCACAGGAAAUGUUCACUAUACUCACCAAACUUUGUCUACAUGUUGAAAAAACAUUGAGGAACUUAAAUUGCGAACGGAUUUUGGUUAGCUUGAACGGUUUUGUCGUGGUGAUUUUGCCAUGCAUAGUUUCAUGACUUUACAACACUGUAUGAAUAACAGAAAAUUAAAAAACUGUCAGACAUCUCAUCUCACUCUCUCCCUCUGUUUGAGUGUGUGUUCUUAGACUUCCAUUGUCUGAGAGAAAAUGCGCCUCUACAGGUUCAAUUCCCGGACUAAAAAAGGGAGGAGACUCUCUUUUGGUUUCACUUUUAAAUCGGUUAAAAUACAAAUAAAUACUUGGAUUUAAUUCACACUGACAAGCUAAACCAAUAUAUAUGAUUAUUAUCAGGUCAGGGCUCAUUAAUAAUUGAUGUGUGGUCAGUGAUACGUGAGAAACACGAGAGAUGAAUCACCGCUCUGAGCAGGAGCGUGUGGAAUGAUGAGCUCAGAAAAAACGAGUUUAUUCUUGUUUAAGAGGUUUUUAAAAUAAAUUAUUGCCAUAAAUGCACACAAUGCAUCCAUUAUAACACACCAAGAGCUAAAUGCAGGUGUUUUUGACCCGUUUAUGUGCGCAAGACUAUUUGAAAGCGCGACUGGCAGAAUAACAUAUAUCUCUCGAGCUGCAGGAUUCUGCCUUUCGUCGUAAGAACGAACACAUCUCGGACAAGAUUAUUUCAAAAUACAUAAUAGCUUGGCUAAUAUAAACGAAAACAGCCACGUGAACAUAAACUGUUGAGAAAUAAAUCUGAAGUGGAUCUACUGGAUUUUAAUAUUAAGUGACCGCAUAUACCAGCUGCUUCUGUCUUCAAUUUUAAUCUAUAUAAAAAAUUAAACUCAUUCAUCUUGGCUGCUUUUUUAAUGUGUGUACCUAUUUAUUUAUUAUUUUACUCUAACAAGACUUAAUCUAUAUUUAAUUAAAUCAAUUACAUUAUAUUUUACAUUUGAUUUGUCCAUUUCUGCAUCUAAACGCAUAAAAACCUAAAACAUGCUCUAUUAUACUAUUGUUAGCAAUUUCUUUAUCUUCCAAUUUAUCUGGUGUACACACUUUUAUUUUCAUAAUAAACUUGUUUGUUAGAUUAUACACAGUUA